rnacentral:rRNA from 1 species
UACGUAGGGGGCAAGCGUUAUCCGGAUUUACUGGGUGUAAAGGGAGCGUAGACGGCGAUGCAAGCCAGAUGUGAAAGCCCGGGGCUCAACCCUGGGACUGCAUUGGAAACUGUUUAACUAGAGUGUCGGAGAGGCAAGUGGAAUUCCUAGUGUAGCGGUGAAAUGCGUAGAUAUUAGGAGGAACACCAGUGGCGAAGGCGGCUUACUGGACGGUAACUGACGCUGAGGCUCGAAAGCGUGGGGAGCAAACAGG